CUCAGCGGUAGUCAGCUGUCUAGCGCCAUUCAAUGCCUAUGAUAGUGUUACACUGCUGGGAGAAGAUGGCACUGCCCAUUUAUACUGGAUGCCACAGUCGCUGUUCUGGUGGCCAGUGGUAUUAGUAUCAGGCAGUGUUGUGUUUUCUUGAGAGUGCGCCAAACUGGACUGUGAGUAUGGCGCUAGUCUGGGAACAUACAUU